AUUGAACGCUGGCGGCAGGCCUAACACAUGCAAGUCGAACGAGUGGCGGACGGGUGAGUAAUGUCUGGGACACUGCCUGAUGGAGGGGGAUAACUACUGGACACGGUAGCUAAUACCGCAUUACCUCAGAUAUGCCCAUAUGGGAUUAGCUAGUAGGUGGGGUAAAGGCUCACCUAGGCGACGAUCCCUAGCUGGUCUGAGAGGAUGACCAGCCACACUGGAACUGAGACACGGUCCAGACUCCUACGGGAGGCAGCAGUGGGGAAUAUUGCACAAUGGGCGCAAGCCUGAUGCAGCCAUGCCGCGUGUAUGAAGAAGGCCCUAGGGUUGUAAAGUACUUUCAGCGGGGAGGCGUUACCCGCAGAAGAAGCACCGGCUAACUCCGUGCCAGCAGCCGCGGUAAUAC
rnacentral:rRNA from 1 species